rnacentral:ncRNA from 2 species
CACAACCUCCUUGAGUGAGCGAC